ensembl:lncRNA
AUUCAUGAACGCACUCCCACACAGAAGAAAACACACCGUGAAACCUCCCUGACAAAAACAACCCCUCUGACUCAUCACAACAGCUGUUAGCAUCCAAAAAGCCUUACCUUCCUCUAUAAAGAUAUCCACUCAUUUGUCAGCUGAAUGGAAAAAUAUCUAUAAAAGAAUAAAACCCUUUCCAGCUGUUCCAACAGCCGCUCUGCCAGUGUCUCCCCAACCGCCAGGUGAGUCAGUCCGACUGCGUCAAAAGGACCUGAACUCAUCGGUUUAUCUGCCACCCGGCGAGCAGAGCUCCAGCAGACAGCCAGACGGGGGCCAAAACACCACGCAGAGACGAAGCGCCGCGAGGAUUUUCCCGGGCCGCUACUUUUUCGCCGCCUCAGACCCGGAGCAGAGUGACCACAGUCAGGCUUGUUUGGCCGCGCCGCUCCCAGAGGAACGAGCCAAGCACCCGGUCGGUCAUUUGACGUGGCAGAGAGCAGCAGCGGGAGAGAGGAGGUAAACACCAGUGGGGAGCAAAGAAAUGCCGUUCAGAAGACAAACAGUGCAGCCGCAUUGACGUGAUUCAAGCAGACAGGCAGCACAUUGAGGCCGGUGGAGGGAGCUGACCAUCAAAGACCCCGGCCGGCGGUCCCAGAGACUGGAUCAACGUCUAUGGAAAUUCCUCUUCAGUGCUUCUCCAAACAGGAGGGUGUGGCCUGCUGGAACUCGUUCACAUACCUGCCUCACAUUCCUCAAUGUGCAGCCGGCGGCGGGAGAGCCGCCCUGCAGGUCUGAGCAGCGGAGACAACAGAGCUUCUGAGGUUGAACCGAGUCGCUCCCCUCUGCGCAGCCGAACGCGCCACGCAGUCCUUCCCUCGCCGAACAGGAGGGGAAAAUUAGAUUCUGGCUUUGAGAAAAGCGUGCUAGUUAAUCACCUCAGGAGCUUCAAAAAGUAGAUAGAUGUAAGACGGACAUCACUUUUGUGGUUAAGCGGGCUGCAACUCAUAGACUUCUGUAGCCUGUGACGAGUGCAAGACGUUGCUCUUUUAUAAACGGUCACUUCAGAAGAAGAAGAGGAAGAAGAAACAUACGUAUUGGCCCCUUAUCUGAAGGUUAGACAUGGAAACCAGAGCUGAUGUUGGAGAUCAAAACGCUCAUCGCUGGAGGACACGACAGCGCCUCCGACCAUCACAACCUCAACCCUUACCGCCGUAUGUUACAUACACAACUAUACUUCAUUGUGGUGAUUGAGCUACUCACCGAUGAAUGAUCACAUUGAAUGUCGUCACCCUGCUCGAUGGCGUCCACGGCGAUGAAGGUUUCAGUGCUGACGGGUCGGAAAGUGCACAAAGUUGUCCUAAAAAAAAAACGGCCCCUCUAAAACAAAGUUGUGACUCUAAAUAUUUCCAAAGAAACAAAGCAAAUACCAACUCAACUCAACUACGUUCGAUUCACAGAUGGAAACUCUUACUCUCGUCCACAUGGAAAGAUUCGGGAAAGAAAAAGCACCUGUGUGGCCUCUGUUGUGAUUAUUUGUCUGCCGGAAUGCAGUGGCACUGGUGUGACACUGAUGCAGGUUACAAGACAAUGUGAGAAUAAGCGGUAAUCCAUAACAAAAUCUCCAAGUUGGCUCAAGAACUACAGAAGCAGGAAGCGGAAAAGACGUGACGAGUGAACGUCCCCAGCAGUUUAUUGGGAAUCAAAUUGGAUAUCGUGCUCAUUUUCAGGUUCAUACUUGUUUUGUGUAGACAAUACGUUUACACGCUUUAGUCUUUCUGUUCCAUUUAGCGCCGGUUGCUCUGAGCACUGCAUCCGGUCACGAUGAGAGGAUAAACUCAAGGACUAUGCAGCAGGUCACAGUUGGGUUUUUGAAGAAUCCCCAUGUCCUCUCCACCUCAUUUUCUCCCACUCCCUCCAUUCCUGCUGUCUCUGCAGAUUUAACGUGUCUGCGUGGCGGGCUGCCAUCCCCGACUGCACAAUCGUCCAACAACCAGCGUGAUGAGCGAAGUGGGGGAAAAUAAAGAUGAGGAAGAGGCGUUCCUCAGGGAAAGUGAGGCCUCGGCCGUUGUUUCAUGAGGCCUAAUCACAAUGAUGAACCGUCCAAAGAAAAACACAAUUCCUUAGAUAGGACUCGGACGGCGUUUAAUGAUAAGCCGCUGGACGUUACGCGUUAUCGUGGCACCCUUUCAACUCAGAUCUGACCCUCCACCCCGCCAAGUCGCUCUCCGCCAUGGAAACCAGUAGUUACGGCCGAUCUGAACACACUCGUUCUGGAAACUGCAGUCAGAGCUUUUCGCGGCCCUGCUUGGCUGAACCCGGAGCUCGGUUUGGUUCCACAUGCCGUACGUGUACUGGAGGCCUCUGUGCUCACGAACAGAGUCUGGAUCACACAAAGGAUCAGCCAAAGAGGUCCGGACCACAGAGCGCACGUGAGGUGAUGUCCUUAAAGAACGCACACAUGUUGGGGAUGUUUUUAAUGGGCUGAUUCAAAUAUAUUGAGAGACAGUAGGUAUGUUUCUAUUCUCAGGAAUAACAGAGUGAAUUUAUAACUUAGUCGCGU